UCAGGAGUAUUCGGGUUCCGGGGGGAGUAUGGUCGCAAGGCCGAAACUUAAGGAAUUGACGGAAGGGCACCACCAGGAGUGGAAUCUGCGGCUUAAUUUGACUCAACGCGGGAAAACUCACCAGGUCAGGACACGGUAAGGAUUGACGGACUGAAGGCUCUUUCUCGAUUCCGUGGAAAGUGGUGCAUGGCCGUUUUUGGUUGGUGGAUCGAUCCGUCUGGUUAAUUCCGUUAACGAACGAGACCUCGGCACUCCGAAUAGCGCGGCGGACGUCGCGGCCUCCGGGCCGUCUUCCGCACGAGCUUCUUAGAGGGACCGUCCCCCGCCGGGGAAGGAGGUGCGAGGCAACGACAGGUCUGUGAUGCCCUUAGAUGUUCUGGGCCGCACGCGCAUUACACUGACGCGUCCAACGGGUGACUCCCGACCCGAAGGGGCCGGGGAAUCCGCAAGGCGCGUCGUGAUGGGGAUUGAACGUUGCAAUUGUUGUUCACGAACGAGGAAUUCCUAGUAGGCGCGGGUCAUCAACCCGCGCCGAUUACGUCCCUGCCCUUUGUACACACCGCC
rnacentral:rRNA from 1 species